rnacentral:rRNA from 1 species
UACAGAGGUCUCAAGCGUUGUUCGGAUUCAUUGGGCGUAAAGGGUGCGUAGGUGGCGCGCUAAGUCAGGUGUGAAAUUUCGGGGCUCAACCCCGAAACUGCAUUUGAUACUGGCGUGCUUGAGGACUGGAGAGGAGACUGGAAUUCACGGUGUAGCAGUGAAAUUCGUAGAUAUUCGCAAGAACACCAGUGGCGAAGGCGGCUCACUGGCCCGAUACUGACGCUGAGGUGCGAAAGCGUGGGGAGCAAACAGG